rnacentral:rRNA from 1 species
UACGUAGGGUGCGAGCGUUGUCCGGAAUUAUUGGGCGUAAAGGGCUCGUAGGCGGUCUGUCGCGUCGGGGAGUGAAAACUCAGGGCUUAACCCUGAGCCUGCUUCCGAUACGGGCAGACUAGAGGUAUGCAGGGGAGAACGGAAUUCCUGGUGUAGCGGUGGAAUGCGCAGAUAUCAGGAGGAACACCAGUGGCGAAGGCGAGUCCCUGGACAACACCUGACACUGAGGCACGAAAGCUAGGGGAGCAAACAGG